UAUUAAUUUUUUUUUACUGCUAAUGACUCCUUUGACUCAAUCAGUACCUUUUGUCAGCACGUUGGAAUCGUGUUCUCAAAAUAAGAACAGAUAUAAUCUAGAAUCUAUUAAUCAAGACUAUAAUUUAGUGACUAAAUAACUUACAUUAAAACAAUGGGUGCUCCUUCAAACACUUCAAUACACAACACAACUUUUCGAUUCCUAAGAAGUUGCUACGUAGAUCCAUUCAAAUGGUCUCUUGUGAAAAGCAUUUCACUCUUUGCAGUGGCAAUUUUGGUAGCUAGAGAGAUGACUGCAGCUAGUGUGGAGCCUGCUGCUUGAUGCUUGUGUUGAAACAUCAUGGAAAACUUGUUGUGAUAUUAGCAUUGGACAAAUGAAUUAAACUUUUGUUUUGCAUUUUUGA